rnacentral:rRNA from 1 species
AAAGAAACCAACAGGAUUGCCCUAGUACCGGCGAGUGAAGCGGCAACAGCUCAAAUUUGAAAUCUGGCUUCGGCCCGAGUUGUAAUUUGCAGAGGAAGCUUUAGGCGCGGCACCAUCUGAGUCCCCUGGAACGGGGCGCCACAGAGGGUGAGAGCCCCGUAUAGAUGGACGCCUAGCCUGUGUAAAGCUCCUUCGACGAGUCGAGUAGUUUGGGAAUGCUGCUCAAAAUGGGAGGUAAAUUUCUUCUAAAGCUAAAUAUUGGCCAGAGACCGAUAGCGCACAAGUAGAGUGAUCGAAAGAUGAAAAGCACUUUGAAAAGAGGGUUAAAUAGCACGUGAAAUUGUUGAAAGGGAAGCGCUUGUGACCAGACUUGCGCCGGGCGGAUCAUCCGGUGUUCUCACCGGUGCACUCCGCCCGGCUCAGGCCAGCAUCGGUUCUCGCGGGGGGAUAAAGGCCCUGGGAACGUAGCUCCUCCGGGAGUGUUAUAGCCCGGGGCGUAAUGCCCUCGCGGGGACCGAGGACCGCGCAUCUGCAA